rnacentral:rRNA from 1 species
UACGUAGGGUGCAAGCGUUGUCCGGAAUUAUUGGGCGUAAAGAGCUCGUAGGCGGUUUGUCGCGUCUGCUGUGAAAACCCGAGGCUCAACCUCGGCCUGGCAGUGGGUACGGGCGAGACUAGAGUGCGGUAGGGGAGAUUGGAAUUCCUGGUGUAGCGGUGGAAUGCGCAGAUAUCAGGAGGAACACCAAUGGCGAAGGCAGAUCUCUGGGCCGUAACUGACGCUGAGGAGCGAAAGCAUGGGGAGCGAACAGG